rnacentral:rRNA from 1 species
GUGGAUUCUCAAGCGUGAGGUAAGAGCAUUUGGUGGAUGCCUUGGCAUGUGCAGGCGAUGAAGGACGUGGCACGCUGCGAUAAGCGUCGGGGAGUUGUGAGCAAACUUUGAUCCGGCGAUUUCCGAAUGGGGAAACCCACCCUCACCAUUAAACAUCUCAGUACCCGGAGGAAAAGACAUCAACAGAGAUUCCCGUAGUAGUGGCGAGCGAACCGGGACCAGGCCAAUGCUUCUUCGUUAAUUAGCAAAACACUUUGGAAAGAGUGGCCAUAGUGGGUGACAGCCCCGUAUGCGAAAGUGAGCGAAGAAGAUUCGAGUAGGGCGGGACACGUGAAAUCCUGUCUGAACAUGGGGGGACCACCCUCCAAGCCUAAAUACUCGCACAUGACCGAUAGCGAACACAGUACCGUGAGGGAAAGGUGAAAAGCACCCCGAUUAGGGGAGUGAAACAGUACCUGAAACCGGAUGCUUACAAGCAGUUGGAGCCCCAUAGGGGGUGACAGCGUACCUCUUGCAUAAUGGGUCAGUGACUUAAUCUACCAUGCAAGCUUAAGCCGUUAGGUGUAGGCGCAGCGAAAGCGAGUCUGAAUAGGGCGACUGAGUAUGAUGGAUUAGACCCGAACCCCGGCGAUCUAGGCAUGGCCAGGUUGAAGGUGCGGUAACACGCACUGGAGGACCGAACCGGUGAAUGUUGAAAAAUUCUCGGAUGAGCUGUGUUUAGGGGUGAAAGGCCAAUCAAGCCGGGAAAUAGCUGGUUCUCCGCGAAAUCUAUUGAGGUAGAGCGUCGGAUGUAUGCCGAUGGGGGUAGAGCACUGGAUGGGCUAGGGCUGCGCGAGCGGUACCAAACCUAACCAAACUCCGAAUACCAUCGAGUCUUAUCCGGCAGACAGACGGCGGGUGCUAAGGUCCGUCGUCAAAAGGGAAACAGCCCUAACCUACAGCUAAGGUCCCCAAGUCAUAUCUAAGUGGGAAAGCAUGUGGGAAUCCCAAAACAACCAGGAGGUUGGCUUAGAAGCAGCCAUCCUUUAAAGAAAGCGUAACAGCUCACUGGUCUAAAUAA